rnacentral:misc_RNA from 1 species
GGAGAGGCCCGGUGAGUAUAACUUCGGCGGUUAUGAAGAGCUUCUGGCUAUGGCGGCGAAAUUCGGGCUGAAAGUUCAGGCCGUCAUGUCGUUCCAUCAAUGCGGAGGGAACGUCGGCGAUUCCUGCAUAAUUCCAUUACCGAAAUGGGUGGUGAAGGAGAUGCAGAAAGAUCCGGACCUUGCCUACACCGAUCAAUGGGGAAGAAGGAA